rnacentral:tRNA from 1 species
GGGGGUAUAGCACAGCGGUUAGCGCGCUGGCCUGUCAAGCCAGAGGUCGCGGGUUCAAAUCCCGUUACUCCC